UGUACUUUCUGUGUAAAUUUUCUAAACUUUCUUCUGUUAAUCUUGUUAAUUUGAUUGAACAUGUGUGUCAUUUUCAAAAAUGUAAAUCGAAUAUAUGUGGAUGGGAUAUAUAUGUGUACAUAUGAAAUAUAACUUCAUAUUACAGAGUAGGCUUAGCUCAUGGCAAUGUUGUUUUGUGAAAGCACCUGCAGAAAUCUCUCUCAUUUCUAGUUUGUUAAUGUUUCAGAGAUUGCGUGAGGCAGAUUUGGUUUCAGUCAUUUUAGCAUCAUUCAUUGUAAGGUGAUGAUCCCUAGGAACUGCUUCACAAUGAGAAACCUGAAAGGUCCCAGCAGUGAGCAAUGAAUGAAAGGUGGGGCGGGGCUGCUGGCAGGGUGGGGCCUUGUCAGCCAUAUGCCUGUGCUCUCAAGUGCCAAGUUUGUGGGGAUGCAUGCAGGGGAUUCUGGACCUGAUUGUUUCCUCUGAACCAGGAUGUGGUCUGGUUGGCAGGGCAACUGGUCUUCACUUGGUGGCCUUCAGUGGGUGUCCUCAUUGGUUGCCUUCAGAUAGUGCCCUCAGUUGGUACCAUCAGUUGGCGCUCUUCAGGUGGUGGUCCUCAGUUGGUGGUCUUCAGUUGUAGGGCAAUGGUGGAAGGAGGAUGAAACUGUGCUUUCUCCUCCCCCAGUCACAGCUCUCAGGCUUGCUGCCUCCGGGCCCUUCUAAAAUAAACCAGACAGGUUGGCAGGUUUUUCUUAACAGACAAGUCAGCUCAGGGUACAGGGGUGACACAGGGUGCAGGCUGCUAGUGCAGUGCCACCCCAUGGCCCAGGGGUGCCCGUGCCAGCCAUGCCUUUGCCAGGAAGAGGCGAUAGGUGUUGAGCUCUGCAGACUUGGGGACAAGCGAACACCCAAGCUGCCUGAGAAGUGCAGGGGUGCCCCAUGGGGACCACACUGAACUGUCGCAUGUGCACCAAAGCCAGCCCCAGUCAGGGCCGGCACAAGGUUUCUGCAGAGCCAGCCUGUGGCUCUGACGUCUACAAGUGUGCAUACAACGAAGGCGCAGGCUGCGAUAUACAGGAGCAGAGGCACCCAGAACACGCUGCCCCUGCUGCCAGUUGCAAGUGGGGUCUGCUCAGAAUGCGGAGGGUGAAGCUGUCCUGCAGCUUUGAGAUCCACGAGGUGGUGGUGGCCCUAGCGCCAGACUCCACUGCUAUGGAACCUGCCCAGUUGAAUUUGGGAGCCAGUGAGGGACCUGACAGCAGCACCAGGAGACGCCCAAAGGUAGGGAGGUGACAGAUACUGCUGAAGUUUAGGAACUCCUCUAGCCAUUGCUGGCCCAAGAAUCCUGCAGAGGCAUCCAGAGUCUCAGUUUUCUCAUCUGUAAACGAUGUGCUUGUUAUGAGGCUUCGGUAAGGUAAGUGUGUAAAAACCAUGGCAAAAUGCUUGUAACUUAAAAGAGAGGAUUUCUAUGAGGCUUCUAUAAAGUAAGUGUAUAAAAAUCUGGACACAAUACCUAUGAUUUUUUCAGUGUUCAGUAUAUGGAGAAGGAGAUUAUAUUCUCUCAUCUAAUUUUCAGAGCCAGUUUAUAAAAAUGGUGAUACUCAUAUUUCUUAGACGAUGAAAUCAAUGAUCAGAAAGAAUAAAUAGAUCAUCAAAGUCACACAGCAGUUCACAAUGCGUUCCUUGUGUAAUUUCUAGUUAAAAGUAGCAAUGAUGAUCACAUUGAAAAUUUUGUAUUAUGUGGUAGUUUUCACUUACAUAAUCCUUUUGGUGUUUUGAAACCAUAUAUUCUAAGUUGCUCUACCAAAGCGAUCAUUAGAAAAAUGUGAUGUAGUUAGUGUGUAAAUUUUAGAAAAUUUCUUCCGUUAGUCUUGUUAAUUUGAUUGCAAAUAUGUGUUAUUUUCAAAAACGUAAAUGGAAUAUAUAUUGAUUGGACUUGUAUGUGUAUAUAUGAAAUAUGACUGGACAUUAUAGAGUAGGCUUAGUUCAUGGCAAUGUUUUUUUCUGAAAGCACCUGAAGAAAUCACUCUUAUUUCCAGUUUGUUAGUGUUUCAGAGAUUAUGGGGGAAAGGGGGUUCUAUGAAUGUCAGACACUGCGUGAGGCACAUUUGGUUUCAGUAAUUUUAGCAUCAUUCAUUGUAAAGUGAUGAUCCCUCGGAACUUCUUCACAAUGAGAAACCUGAAAGGUCCCAGCAGCCAGCAAUGAAUGAAAGGUGGGGUGGGGCCGCUGGCAGGGCGAGGCCUUGUGAGCCAUGUGCCUGUGCUCUCAAGUCCGAAGUUUGUGGGGAUGUAUGCAGGAGAUUCUGGCCCUGAUUGUUUCCCCAGAACCAGGAUGCGUUCUGGUUGGCAGGACAACUGGCCUUCACUUGGUGGCCUUCAGUGGGUGUUCUCAUUGGUUGCCUUCGUUUAGUGCCCUCAGUUGUUUCUCUUCAGUUGGCGGUCCUCAGUUGGUGGUCUUCGGUUGUUGGGCAGUGGUGGGAGGAGGAUGAAUCCAUUUGUGCUCUCUCCUCCCCCAGCCACAGCUCUCAGGCUUGUUGCAUCCAGGCCCUUCUAAAAUAAACCAGACAGGUUGGCAGGUUUUUUUUUAGCAGACAAGUCAGCUCAGAGUACGGGGGUGACACGGGGUGCAGGCUGCUAGCGCAGUGCCACCCCAUGGCCCAGGGCUGCCCGUGCCAGCCAUGCUUUUGCCAGGAAGAGGCGAUAGGUGUUGAGCCCUGCAGACUUGGGUGCAAGCGAAGACCCAAGCUGCCUGAGAAGAGUAGGGGUGCCCCAUGGGGCCCACACUGAACUAUUGCAUAUGCACCAAAGCCAGCCCCAAUUGGCACAAGGGUUCACAGAGCCAGCCUGUGGCUCUGACGUCUACCAGCAUGCAGACUGUGAAGAUGCAGGCCGCGAUAUACGGGAGCAGAGGUGCCCAGAACAUGCUGUCCCCCAAUGCCAGCCACAAGUGGGGCUAUCUGAGGGUGUGAUGGGUGAAGCUGUCCUGCAGCUCUGAGAUCCACGAGGCAGAGGCAGCAGUAGCGCUGGACUCCACUGCUUUGGAGGCUGCCCAGUCGAAUUUGGGAGCCAGCAAGAGUCCUGACAGCAGCACAUUGGCCACCAGAAGACACCCAAAGGGAGAGGAGCGGAAGACCUUCUGGUGUGGGCUGGGCAGCAAUUCACUUGAAGGAGAAACAGCCCCGGUGUGGAGAGGCGGCCAUCCUUGGCGGGAUCCUUUCUAAGGAGCCGAGAAAUCAACGUAGAGCUUCCUCUGUCUGAUUCUCUAACAACUGCAGACCUUCCAUGAGUCAAGCUUUGUGUCAAAAGGACAAAUAAAAAGGACCUAUAAAAGGCAUCACCAAGCCCAAUGGACAGAUGCCCCAGGCUGCACAUUCUGUCAGUGCUGUUCUGGAAAAGGCCCAAACACAUGCUGAAACAUCGAAGGAUAAGAAGCCAGCCCUCGGGAACCGGCAGGAGCACUCUGGGCCCCGCACGGCCCCAAGUCCAGCCUGCCCCGCCUCCUCUGGUGCAGAGGUCCAGGGAUACCAGCAGCAGCCCCGCCACGCCCCUCCAAGGCCAAGAACACAGGCGGCAGGGGCUUCCCCUCCCUGCCAGACUACUUCCUGCCGCCACAGCCACCACCCUUGGACGACCCAGAGCUCCCGCCGCCCCUGGACUUCGUGCUCCCUCCCCCCGCGGUCGCCAAGAGGCCUCCUAAUGCCCCACCCCCGCAAGAGACACGAAGCAUCAAUGUUCAGAAGCAGCAAAUAAA
rnacentral:lncRNA from 1 species